rnacentral:rRNA from 1 species
UACGUAGGGGGCUAGCGUUGUCCGGAAUCAUUGGGCGUAAAGAGCGUGUAGGCGGCCCGGUAAGUCCGCUGUGAAAGUCGGGGGCUCAACCCUCGAAAGCCGGUGGGUACUGUCGGGCUCGAGUCCGGAAGAGGCGAGUGGAAUUCCUGGUGUAGCGGUGAAAUGCGCAGAUAUCAGGAGGAACACCAAUGGCGAAGGCAGCUCGCUGGGACGUGACUGACGCUGAGACGCGAAAGCGUGGGGAGCAAACAGG